rnacentral:lncRNA from 1 species
ACUCGUGAAUGGCUGACUCCCUGAAGGUGACGGUGUUUUCUGUGAUCUUUGCAUAGGCUGAGAUGAAAGGGUCAGAGAUCAGAGAAAGGAUUCUGGGCCUGGUGUCACUUGGUGUGGUUGCAAUAAAGAGACAAAAUUAGCAUCAGGCUACUCUUCACUUGCUCUCCAGGUGACCUUCCCAGGGCUACCUGGGAGAUAUUGUCUCAGUCUGCAAACUCCUUCUAGGGCAAGGGCAGUGGGUGGCCCAGAACAGCAUCUGCAGAUAGGUAAUUAUUAUGUGCUUUUGAUGAUGAUGAGAUAAUAUUAGGUAUUUGGAGAUUUAUAAAAUAUUCAAAUGGAAAUUGUCCUUGAAGAUCCUCCCCAGCUAGCUUCUCAGCACCCUGAGUUCCUUUAGCUGAGGGGAGUGAAAGUGUUCACAGCUUGCCUUCAGGCUGAGUCUAGAGAAAGCUCUCCUCUGAAAAGGAGUACAGUACAUUCCUGCCUGCUGUAUUCACACUUGUGUUUCUCUGCCUCUCUCAUGAUCUGUAUACAGCUGAGCCUUGAACAACAUGGGUGUGAACUGUACAGGUCCAUUUUAGGCAGAAUUUUUUCAAUAAAAGUUACACUGAGGGCCGUGUGUGGUGGGUCAUGCCUUUAAUCCCAGCACUUUGGGAGGCUGAGGCCUGAGGAUCACUUGAAGCCAGGAGUUGAAGACCAGCCUGGGCAAAAAAGCAAGACUGUCUCUACAAAAAAAAAAAAUUAAAAAAAUGUAGCCUGGCCUGGGGGUGCAUGCCUGUAAUCCCAGCUACUUGGAAGGCUGGGGCGGGAUUGCUUGAGGCCAGGAGUUUGGACGCUGCAGUGAGCUAUGCUCGCGUCAUUGCACUCCAGACUGUGCAACAGAUCAAGACCACAUCUCUAAAAAUAGAUAAAAGUUAUACCAAGUGUGCCUGCCUUUCCUGCCUCCCCUUCCACCUUCUCCACCUCUGC